UUUUUUUUUUUUUUUUUUUUUUUUUGAGACGGAGUCUCGCUCUGUCGCCCAGGCUGGAGUGCAGUGGCGCGAUCUCGGCUCACUGCAAGCUCCGCCUCCCGGGUUCACGCCAUUCUCCUGCCUCAGCCUCCCGAGUAGCUGGGACUACAGGCGCCCGCUACCACGCCCGGCUAAUUUUUUUUUGUAUUUUUAGUAGAGACGGGGUUUCACCGUGUUAGCCAGGAUGGUCUCGAUCUCCUGACCUCGUGAUCCGCCCGCCUCGGCCUCCCAAAGUGCUGGGAUUACAGGCGUGAGCCACCGCGCCCGGCCACCACUUUUCUUAUGGUUUAUUUUUUUUAAUUGUAUGUGGUUUUGAAAUAUUUUUUAGAUUGUGUCUUACAUUUUUUUGAGACUUACACAUUUUAAGAGAAUUUCAAACUGUUUUUCCUAAUUUCUGAAUUUUCUUAUUAACUUCCUAAAUUUUGUUACUUUCUAUGGAUGCAAUAUUUUCUACUUCUCUGAGACUAUAGGGAACAUGCAUUCUGAACUCUGCUUGAACAGAGGUCAUGGGGCCAGAAGGAAAAAGGAACUUAGAGACUCAUUUCUCUGGAGAGCUCAUCUUGGUUGAUAGAAAGAAGACUGGGUGUGGCCUGGACAUACAUUCAAGUGACUCACAAACUAUUUCUAAAUGACAACUGGAGACCUGGCCGGUGGCUGGAACCUGAAGUUACUUGGAAGUGAUGUGAUUGAAAACAUUACAAGUGAAACUUCUGGUAAUUUCAACAGUGCACACUGCAAAUAAGAAUAAAAACUGGUCGGCAUCUGGCAAUAUGGUAGAAAAGUAACAACUCUGAUCUGCAGCUCCCAGUGAGACAAACACAAAGGAAAGCUGAUUUCUGCAUUUCCACCUGAGUUACCCAGUUCAUCUCACUGGAAGUGGUUAGACAUUGAGUGCAGCCCACAAAAGGCAAGCAGAAGUAGGGUGAGUGUUGCCUCACUCAGGAAGUGUAAGUGGCUGAAAACUUCCUCCUUUAACCAUGGAAAGCAAUCGGGGGCUGUGCUAUCAAGCCCAUAACCUGCAGUUUUCCCAUGGUUCUUACGAUGCACAGACCAGGAGAUUCCCUAGUGUGCCUGUACAACCACAGAACUGGGUUUCAAGCACAAAACUGGGUGGCUGCUUUCACAGAGGCUGAGCUAGCUGCAAAAUAAUUUUCGUACCCUAGUGGCACCUGGAACACCAGUGAGACAUAACCAUUCACCCCCCUGGAAAGGGGCUGAAGCCAGGGAGCCAAGUGGUCCCACUGAGCAGGCCCCACUCCCAUGGAGCACAGCAAGCUGAGAUCCACUGGCUUCAAGUUCUCACUACCUACAUAGAAGCCUGAAGUCAACCUAGAAUGAUAAAGCUUGGUGGGGAGAGGUUCGACCACAAUUACUGAGACUUGAGUGUAAGGUUUUCCCCUCAGAGUGUUAAGAAAACUGCCAGGAAAUUUGGGCUGCAUGGAACUCACAGAAGCAUGCAAAGCAGCUGUGGCCACAUUGGCUCUCUAGAUUCCUCCUCACUGGGUAGGGCAUCUCUAAAAGAAAGGCAGCAGCCUGAGUCAGAGACUUAUAUGUAAAACUCCCAACUCCCUGGGACAGAACACCUGGGAAAAGGGAUGGCUGUGACUGCAACUUCAGCAAACUUAAAGACUCCUGCCUGCUUGCACUGAAGAGAGCAGUGUAUCUCCCAGGACAGUGCGCAAGCUCUGCUCAGGGCAGACUGGCUUUUCAAGUUUGCCCCUGACACCUGUGCUUCCUGACUAGGAGACCUUUUCCAGCAGGGGUCAACAGACACUUCAUAGAGAAAAGCUCUGGCUGGCACCAGCCAGGUAUCACUCUGAGUCAAAACUUCCAAUCAUUGCUGUUGUGCAACUUCAUAUGGUGAUACCCAGGCAAACAGCAACUGAAGUAGACCAGCAAACUGUAGCAGACCUGCAGAAGAGAUGCCUGACUGUUAGAAGAAAAACUAACAAACAGGAAACAGUGACAUCAACAUCAACAUCAACAAAAAGGACUCUCACACAAAAUCCCAGUCCAAAGACAUUGAGUAUCAAAGAUCCCAGGUAGAUAAAUCCAUGAAAAAUGAGGAAUAGCCAGCACAAAACAGCUGAAAAUUCAAAAAAUUAGAAUGCCUCUUCAACUCCAAAUGAUCGCAAUUCCUCUCCAGCAAGGGCACAAAGGUGGAUGGAGAAUGAGGUUGAUGAGUUGGCAGAAGUAGGCUUCAGAAGGUCAGUAAUAACAAAAUUCUCUAAGCUAAAGGAGUAUGUUCUAAACCAAUGCAAGUAAGGUAAAAGCCUUGAUAAAACGUUACAGGAGCUGCUAACUAAAAUAACCAGUUUACAGAAGAACGUAUAUGACCGCAUAGAGCUGAAAAACACAGUGCAAGAAACAUUGUGAAGCAAAAACAAGUAUUAAUAGCUGAAUCAAUGAAGAGGAAGAAAGAUUAUCAAAGAUGGAAGAUCGACUUAAUGAGAUAAAGCAUGAAGACAAGAUUAGAGAAAAAUGAAUGAAAAGCAACAAACAAAGCCUCCAAGAAAUAUGGGAGUAUGUCAAAAGACCAAACCUAUAACUGAUUGGUGUACCUGAAAGAGAUGGGGAAAAAUGGAACCAAGUUUGAAAACACACUUCAAGACAUCAUCCAGGAGAACUUCCCAAUGGAACAAGACAGGCCAACAUUCAAAUUCAGGAAGUACAGAUAACACCACUAAGAUACUCGCUGAGAAGAGCAACAGACAUAUGACUGUCAGAUUCUCCAAGGUUGAACAAAAAGAAAAAAUGUUAAGGACAGCCAGAGAGACAGGUCAGGUUACCUACAAAGGGAAGCCCAUCAGACUAACAGAGGAUCUCUCUGCAGAAACCCUACAAGCCAGAAGAGAGUGGAGUCAAUAUAAAACAAACCUAAAGAAAACAAUUUCAACCUAGAAUUUUAUAUUAAGCCAAACUAAGCUUUAUAAGCAAAAUAAAAAUAAAAUUGUUACAGAUAACAAAAUGUAGAUGGUUUUGUCAACACCAUGCCUGCCUUAGAAGAGCUCCUAAAGAAAGCACUAAAUAUGGAAAGAAAAUACCGGUACUCACCUGGUGCAGUGGCUCACGCAUGUAAUCUCAGCACUUCGGGAGGCGUAGGUGGGCAGAUCAUGAGGUCAGAAGAUGGAGACCAUCCUGGCUAGCACAGUGAAACCCUGUCACUACUAAAAAUACAAAAAAAAUUGGCCGGCUGUGUUGGUGAGUGCCUGUAGUCCCAGCUACUCAGACUCACGGGAGGCUGAGGCAGAAUGGCAGAAACACAGGAGGCGGAGCUUGCAGUGAGCCAAGGUCAUGCUACUGCACUCCAGCCUGGCCAACAGAGUGAGACUCUGUCUCAAAAAACAAAAAACAAAACAAAAAAAAA